AUUUGUUACUUCCAUAUAACAACCAGAAGAUGGCGCUAUUGUAACAGCAUCUUGAUUCUCGUUUUCAGCUUGUCCAGAGAAGAAGAAUGUCAGAUAAAUGCCAACAUUUUCCGGAAGUGGAAAUUUCCGGAUUUUAGCCGGUUUAGUGCCAAGUUAACUCAAGGCUCCUCCACCCACCAAAAUUUGGGACACUAUGGCAUUCCAGAGAUGGAAAAGGUUUUGGACAGAAGAGCCUUUUUCUUUGCCUAUGAGGUAGCUAAAUGUGUUAAGCACUCACUACACCUGUCACUUUGUAUAUAUAUUUAUACAUUAAAACUAAUAACCUGUGGGGCAUUAUUUAAGAUUCCUUUUAUCAAGUAAACAAGUACGUGGCUAUUAAAAAUAUCAACCCCGGGGCGCCUGGGUGGCUCAGUUGGUCAAGCAUCUGACUCUUGAUAUUGGCUCAGGUCAUGAUCUCACGGUGUGUGGGUUCGACCCCCAUGUCAGGCUCUGCACUGACAGCUUGGAACCUGCUUGGAUUCCCUCUCUCCCUGCCCUUUCUCUCUCUGCUCCUCCCCUCUCUCACACAUUCUCUCUCUCUCUCUCUCUCUCUCUCUCUCUGAAAAUAGAUACACUUAAAAAAAUAACGCCAAGAUGAUGUCUGUGGCCUAAAUUGUGAGUAACAUAUCACAAUGUUUGUCUCAAAUUUUCUUGUAUGAUCAUUUAGAACUCUCAUUUUGUUUUUUAAAGAAUGUUUAAACUGUAUGUUAAGUCCACAUGCAAUUUUGUUAUUAUCUACACUUUAAAAAAGUCCCCAAAGCUUAACAACUCUUCCUGUGAGUGCCACAUUGAGAACAGAAGACCCAACUCUUUAUGGCUAUCUAGGUACUAGAAAUUUUAAUCAUUUACCAUGUUUGUUAAUUAUUUUCUCUGGUAGCAUAUAAACUCCAUGAGGACAGUAAUUCUCACAUGUUUCAUUUAUCACAAUAAGCUCCAAUCCUAAACCAGUGCCCUGUGCAUAAAUUCUCAGUGACUAUUUGUUGAAUGAACGAAUUUUCCUUGUUUCUUUCAGUGAUUUCCUGAUAGGAUACAUUUUCUCAAUAUUUUGAUAUACUGACUUUUAUCUUUUGGCAAUACUUUAGUUUUUCAAUGAUAUUUCUCAGAUGGGGUUACCUUGGUAAUAAUGUUUAAGCACCCAGAACUAGCACAAACGUGUUACUGGUUUACCAAUGAAGCCUCUGCACUUAGAGUUUGUGUUCUGUUUAUAUUUAAAAGCCUUUUCAGUUAUUAGCUGGACUUGGACCACAAGAUGAAAUGGGAGUGCACGGUGGACAGAAAUACUCAAAUCGAUUUUGCAGUCACCAUUGUGAUAGCUUGAAUGAUUGCUUUGGCUUAAACAUUUGAGGCAUUGUAUCUAUUUAUAUAAAUGAUUUACUUUAACUUGAAGGAUAUUUGGGGUCUUUAUUGGCAGGGAGAGAUGACAGUCAAAGCUACAAAUCAUCUGAUCCCAAGAAUAUCCUACUUUGUAUUUGUCCUUCAGCUUUCUUAGUUUACUUCUCAAUAUUGGGGGAUGGUUUGCAUAAUUUGCCAUUUUGGUCAUGUGUUUACUAACAGGGUAUUCCUCUUAGCAACACUUGAAUCAGGGGUCUGGAGACAUCAGGGGAAUAUAUGACCAUUUAUGUGACAGUGCUGCUCUAUUUUAUCUCAUUUCCAGUCCUCACAUGAUCUAGGACCAUCAUCUGUUGCAAAACCUCUACAGAACAUAAGUUGUUUCUCUAGUAAUUCAACGAGAACAGAACCUCGGUGUAAUAAACGUUCACACACAAAAAAUAAAAUUCA
ensembl:lncRNA